ACGUAGGUGGCGAGCGUUGUCCGGAAUUAUUGGGCGUAAAGGGAGCGCAGGCGGGAGAUCAAGUCUAUCUUAAAAGUGCGGGGCUCAACCCCGUGAGGGGAUGGAAACUGGUCUUCUUGAGUGCAGGAGAGGAAAGCGGAAUUCCUAGUGUAGCGGUGAAAUGCGUAGAUAUUAGGAGGAACACCAGUGGCGAAGGCGGCUUUCUGGACUGUAACUGACGCUGAGGCUCGAAAGCGUGGGGAGCGAACAG
rnacentral:rRNA from 1 species